rnacentral:ncRNA from 2 species
UUGAUAAAAUAUAAGUGUAUUCGUAUAAUAUCGGAAAUAUGGUCCGAAAGUCUCUACCCUGAAACCGUAAAUUUCGGGACUACGAAAUGCAGUGUACAAACC